UUAGAGGAAGUAAAAGUCGUAACAAGGUCUCCGUUGGUGAACCAGCGGAGGGAUCAUUAUAGAGUUCUACAACUCCCAAACCCAUGUGAACAUACCUCUCGUUGCCUCGGCAGGCGCCGUCCUACCCCUCGUAGGUGGGCGAAACCUGCCGACGGCCCCCGAAACUCUGUUUAUUAUAGCAUUAGACCUCUGAAAAAAGAUAACUAAAUCAGUUAAAACUUUCAACAACGGAUCUCUUGGUUCUGGCAUCGAUGAAGAACGCAGCGAAAUGCGAUAAGUAAUGUGAAUUGCAGAAUUCAGUGAAUCAUCGAAUCUUUGAACGCACAUUGCGCCCACCAGUAUUCUGGUGGGCAUGCCUGUUCGAGCGUCAUUUCAACCCUUAAGCCCUGGUUGCUUAGCGUUGGGAGCCUACCGGACCCCGUCCCGUAGCUCCCCAAAGUCAGUGGCGGAGCCGGUUUAACACUCCAGACGUAGUAGCUUUUACACAUCGCCUGUAGCCUAAGCCCGGCGCCCUGCCGUAAAACACCCCCCAAUGUAUAGGUGAC
rnacentral:rRNA from 1 species